GCUCGGUAUAACAGCCGCUGUUUAUUAGAUCUUAGUUAUCUACUUGGAUAACUCUGGCAAUUCUAGAGCUAAUACAUGCACGCAGUCUCGGACCUUCGGGAAAGAGCGCAUUUAUUAGAACAAAACCAAUCGAGCUUCGGCUUGUUUAUUGGUGACUCUGAAUAACUUAGUUAAUCGCAUGGUCUUAGUACCGGCGAUGUAUCUUUCAAAUGUCUGCCUUAUCAACUUUCGACGGUAGGUUAUACGCCUACCGUGGUUAUAACGGGUAACGGAGAAUAAGGGUUCGACUCCGGAGAGGGGGCUUGAGAAAUGGCCACCACAUCCAAGGAAGGCAGCAGGCGCGCAAAUUACCCAAUCCCAGAACGGGGAGGUAGUGACGAAAAAUAACGAGACAGUCCACUAUGUGGCCUGUCAUCGGAAUGGGUACAGUUUAAACUUCUUAACGAGGAUCUAUUAGAGGGCAAGUCUGGUGCCAGCAGCCGCGGUAAUUCCAGCUCUAAUAGCGUAUAUUAAAGUUGUUGUGGUUAAAACACCCGUAAUUGGAUCUUCGGUCUUGAAGCUCGGUAAUUCGUAAGAAUUUAACUGAGUCUUCUGGCCUAAAUUUUAGUUUUCCCCUGAUGCUCUUUAUUGAGUGUCUUGGGUAGCUGGAACGUUUACUUUGAAAAAAUUAGAGUGCUAAAAGCAGGCUAUAUGCUUGAAUAAAGUGCAUGGAAUAAUGGAAUAGGACUUUAGUCUCAUUUUGUUGGUUUUCGAAAUUAAAGUAAUGAUUAAGAGGAACAGACGGGGGCAUUCGUAUUGUUGCGUUAGAGGUGAAAUUC
rnacentral:rRNA from 1 species